rnacentral:rRNA from 1 species
AUUGAACGCUGGCGGCAUGCUUUACACAUGCAAGUCGAACGGUAACAGGUUAAGCUGACGAGUGGCGAACGGGUGAGUAAUGCAUCGGAACGUGCCCGAUCGUGGGGGAUAACGCAGCGAAAGCUGCGCUAAUACCGCAUACGAUCUGAGGAUGAAAGCGGGGGACCGUAAGGCCUCGCGCGAUCGGAGCGGCCGAUGUCAGAUUAGGUAGUUGGUGGGGUAAAGGCUCACCAAGCCAACGAUCUGUAGCUGGUCUGAGAGGACGACCAGCCACACUGGGACUGAGACACGGCCCAGACUCCUACGGGAGGCAGCAGUGGGGAAUUUUGGACAAUGGGCGAAAGCCUGACCCAGCGACACCGCGUGGAGGAUGAAGUCUUUCGGGAUGUAAACUCCUGACAGGCGGAGCGAUGCCGUUUCGGAGUAACUGCCGGGACGGUGACGGUACUGCCAAAGGAAGCCCCGGCUAACUACGUGCCAGCAGCCGCCGUAACAC